UGAAGAGGUUUGUGACUGAGUGGCGGACGGGUGAGUAACGCGUGGGUAACCUGCCUCAUACAGGGGGAUAACAGUUAGAAAUGACUGCUAAUACCGCAUAAGCGCACAGCAUCGCAUGAUGCAGUGCGAAAAACUCCGGUGGUAUGAGAUGGACCCGCGUCUGAUUAGUUAGUUGGUGGGGUAACGGCCUACCAAGGCGACGAUCAGUAGCCGGUCUGAGAGGAUGAACGGCCACACUGGAACUGAGACACGGUCCAGACUCC
rnacentral:rRNA from 1 species